rnacentral:rRNA from 1 species
CGUAGUGGCGCACGGGUGCGUAACGCGUGGGAAUCUGCCCCUUGGUACGGAAUAACUCAGGGAAACUUGAGCUAAUACCGUAUGAUGUCUUCGGACCAAAGAUUUAUCGCCUAGGGAUGAGCCCGCGUUGGAUUAGCUAGUUGGUGGGGUAAAGGCCUACCAAGGCGACGAUCCAUAGCUGGUCUGAGAGGAUGAUCAGCCACACUGGGACUGAGACACGGCCCAG